GAGAGAGAGAGAGAGAGAGAGAGAGAGAGAGAGAGAGAGAAGAGGGGUGUGGGGGACGGAGAACCACUUGUGAACAGGAACAUUGAAAUUAUUCAUGUGCUUGAGAUAAUGGAAGUUAUUGAUAAUCAAGAAUUAUAUGUAAAAAAUGUUGAGGACUGUAGGUAAAAACACACAUGUCCACGCUCAUGUGUGUACAUGUGUAUACACUCUGUGUAUGCAAACAGUUCUGCUCAGGUAAAGCCUUAGAAUUAGAUUCUGACAUCUAAGAAGGUAAAGAAGGCAGGGGCUGAGGGGUGGCUCAGCAGCCAAGACCUCACUGAGCUCGAUUCCCAACACCAGCGCAGGACAGACCACAGCCAUCUGUAGUUCCAGCCCAACGGGAUCCCUCUCUGCACAGAGACACUCGUGUGCACACAUCCUACAGACUUAAGCAUGUACGUGCAACUAGAAGUCAAAUGUUAAAAUCCUGAAGACGGUGGAACCCUGGCCACGAUCAGAAUAAGGUGAGAAAUGCAGAGGUAGCUGUCUGGGUUCUUGUUUUCCUUUUCAACCCGUGCAGUAAAAACACCUUCACAUACACACAGGGGCAUGUAUAGCACUUCUCUGAUUAUUAAGUGAGAGAACACUGAAGAAAUCAGGGUACCCUAUUCAUGAUUAGAAAAUACAGACACUAUUUUUCCAUUGUGGAUCUAUAGAUUCAAUACUGUGUCAACUCCAGUGGUUUUCUUUCACAGACAUUGGCAGGUUAUAUGGAAACGUGGGUGUGUUCACUAUCUUGUGGUAUUGCUUUCACAGAUAUAUUUGUAAAGGCUUAUUAACUGUGGUAUAUAUGUUUGGUUUCAUUUAUCAUAUGUCAAUUGUACUGUAAAGCUGGUAAAAAAAUAAUAUAAAUAUUCUAUUGAUAAUAGUUUGUAAAAUGGGUACUAAAUAAUGAUGUUUACAAAAGUAUAUAUAGCAAUAAAAAGAAUUUAGUAUAGUUGUAAC
rnacentral:lncRNA from 1 species